rnacentral:lncRNA from 1 species
GUCGCCUUUCUUGUUCUCAUAGAAUCAUAUGAUAUGAGCUCCAUGUUUUGUGAACGUCUUUCUUAACUGUCGUAUUAGACUGACCAGUGCAUAUCGCGCAUGGCACUUUAAAUGUAUUUUAAGCGCGAAAAUUAACUUACAUUUAGCUGGAUUUAUUGCCGUCGUAGUUCCAUCUUGUCGCCUUCGUACUUUUAUUCGAUGGCAACACGACGGGAUUACGAGGUCUUCACGAAGUCGUGUUGCCAUCGUAAGACCUUCGGGUAGCUUCGUGAUUCAUUCGUGUAGACAUCGUAAUGUCAAAACUGCCCGAUGGAAACGAUGGAAACACGAAUGCAAUACGAUGUUCAAAGAUGCAUUCCCGGUGACAUUACGAU